rnacentral:rRNA from 1 species
AGUGAACGCUGGCGGUAGGCCUAACACAUGCAAGUCGAACGGCAGCACAGUAAGAGCUUGCUCUUACGGGUGGCGAGUGGCGGACGGGUGAGGAAUACAUCGGAAUCUACUUUUUCGUGGGGGAUAACGUAGGGAAACUUACGCUAAUACCGCAUACGACCUACGGGUGAAAGCAGGGGAUCUUCGGACCUUGCGCGAUUGAAUGAGCCGAUGUCGGAUUAGCUAGUUGGCGGGGUAAAGGCCCACCAAGGCGACGAUCCGUAGCUGGUCUGAGAGGAUGACCGGCCACAGUGGAACUGGGACGCGGCCCGGCCCCCUACGGGAGCAGGCAGGGGGAAUUUUUGGACAAGGGGCGCAGGCCUGACCCACCCAUCCCGGGGGGGGAAAGAGGGCCUUGGGGUUGAAAACCCUUUUUGUGGGAAAAAAAAAGCAGCAGCUAAAUCCCCCCCUGUUCUGAGGUUCCCAAAAAAAAAGCACCCGGCUAACUUGGUG